CAUAUCUUCCGAGGAAUAAGUGAAGAAAAUUUCUCCGCAUCAUGAAGUUCCUUUCCAUUUUCGUAGUCAUUGCUAUGGCUCUAGCAGCUGUUAGUGGACAGCGUUGCCUAGGACGAGGACAAUAUUGCGGAGGAUAUAUUCCGUGUUGCUCAAGCUUUUGCCGCAGGGGAAGAUGCGCCUAGUUGGAGGUACAUCCAGGCGAAAGAGACACAAAUGCCUGCUUCGGGAGGAGAUGCCGGACAGGACGUGUGUCAGUCAGCAAGUCCAAUGUAUGAGGAGACCUUCUUCGGCUUCCUCGAUUUGGACGAUUUUUAUACCUAAAAAUUGCAUUUUCCAAGGAUUUUCCUAACUAAUCUGUACUCAUUUGAAGUGGAUGGAUACAAUAAAAUAUCUAUAUUCAAGCAUA